GGUGUAAGUGACAGCGAACUGAAAGAACGAAUCACGAAUGGAUAUAUAAUGAGAAGGCCGCUACAUUGUGGUGAAGAUCUGUUCAACAUAAUUUCAGACUGUUGGAAGACGGACAUAAAGCAACGCAGCACCUUUCAUGACAUGCAAAUCAAAAUUGGUUGGAUUCUCGAGGGUUCAAAUGAUUAUCUCUCCCUGAACAGAAUGAGUGACGAGGAUAUUUA